AAAAAAAAAUGGUUCUUCGUGAAGUGUGUCCCUUGUUUGCAGGGUAUACUCAAUACCAUUUACAUCAACUUUCUUCACCUUUUUCUUACAUUUUCCAAACCAGUCCACUUAUCUUUUGGUGCUUUUUGGACCCAUUUAUUUGCAUUUUGUUCUUACACUUGAAGAGCUGAUUCUAAAGAUGAGCCAUUACUUGUUGGCACCACCACCAAUGCUCAUUCACCAGUUUCCAAUGAGAAGAUACCUAUGGACAAGCAGCAGCAGCCACAACGUUUGAGGGGUUCAUUUGGUGUGUUCUUUUCAAGCAAGAGGAAGGUUCCAAAUGCUGCUGAUCCACUUCACAAUCGUUGAAAGCCAUGGGAGGAACAUGAAUUUUAAAGCUUUCAUAAUGUUGGGUUUUGUUUGAUCUUUUCUGGGGUUAUUAUGAAUUGCAUUUUGCAUCCAUGUUUUUCAAAAAUUUUGUUGGAUUUUCAUGACUAUCAUCUUUGUAUUUGUCUAUACUGCAAUAUAUGUGUACUGUAAAUGAAGAAACUUUUGGCUUUUUUAUUCAACUUUUAAUUUUUUGUAGUACCUCAUAAUAUCAAAAGCUUGAGAGGUCACUUUUAGUAGGGUUCAGAGAUUUGGUAGUACCAGAGAAUAAUCUUUAUAAUCUCUUGUGCCACCAUUAAAAGAAUUUGUUGGUAUCUGUUUGUUUUAUUAUAUCUACUAUUUGUUCU